rnacentral:rRNA from 1 species
GAUGAACGCUGGCGGCGUGCCUAAUACAUGCAAGUCGAGCGAACGGACGAGAAGCUUGCUCCUCUGAUGUUAUCGGCGGACGGGAGAGUCACACGUGGAUAACCUAACUAUCCGACUGGGAUACCUUCGGGAAACCGUAGCUACUACCGGAUAAUAUUUUGACCCGCAUGGUUCACAAGUGAGAGACGGUCUUGCUGUCACUAAUAGAUGGACACGCGCUGCAUUAGCUAGUUGGUAAGGUAACGGCUUACCAAGGCAGCGAUGCAUAGACGACCUGAGAGGGUGAUCGGAUACACGGGAUGGGAGACAGGGUCCAGACUCUGACGGUGGGAAGCAGUAGGGAAUCCUCCGCGAUGGGCGAGAGCGGGACGGAGCAACGUGGCGUGAGGGAUGAAGGAGCUCUGAUCCUAGAACUCUGUUAGUAGGGAAGAACAUAUGUGUAAGUAACUGGGCUCAUCUUGACGGUACCGAAUGAGAAAGCCACGGCUAACUCCGUG